rnacentral:rRNA from 1 species
GACGAACGCUGGCGGCGUGCUUAACACAUGCAAGUCGAACGGAAAGGCCCUGCUUUUGUGGGGUGCUCGAGUGGCGAACGGGUGAGUAACACGUGAGUAACCUGCCCUUGACUUUGGGAUAACUUCAGGAAACUGGGGCUAAUACCGGAUAGGAGCUCCUGCUGCAUGGUGGGGGUUGGAAAGUUUCGGCGGUUGGGGAUGGACUCGCGGCUUAUCAGCUUGUUGGUGGGGUAGUGGCUUACCAAGGCUUUGACGGGUAGCCGGCCUGAGGGGGUGACCGGCCACAUUGGGGCUGAGAUACGGCCCAGACUCCUACGGGAGGCAGCAGUGGGGAAUAUUGCACAAUGGGCGGAAGCCUGAUGCAGCAACGCCGCGUGCGGGAUGACGGCCUUCGGGUUGUAAACCGCUUUCGCCUGUGACGAAGCGUGAGUGACGGUAAUGGGUAAAGAAGCACCGGCUAACUACGUG